rnacentral:rRNA from 1 species
GCCAGACUCCUACGGGAGGCAGCAGUGGGGAAUAUUGCACAAUGGGGGAAACCCUGAUGCAGCGACGCCGCGUGAGUGAAGAAGUAUCUCGGUAUGUAAAGCUCUAUCAGCAGGGAAGAAAAUGACGGUACCUGACUAAGAAGCCCCGGCUAACUACGUGCCGGCAGCCGCGGUAAUACGUAGGGGGCAAGCGUUAUCCGGAUUUACUGGGUGUAAAGGGAGCGUAGACGGCAUGGCAAGUCAGAUGUGAAAGCCCGGGGCUCAACCCCGGGACUGCAUUUGAAACUGUCAGGCUGGAGUGCAGGAGAGGUAAGUGGAAUUCCUAGUGUAGCGGUGAAAUGCGUAGAUAUUAGGAGGAACACCAGUGGCGAAGGCGGCUUACUGGACUGUAACUGACGUUGAGGCUCGAAAGCGUGGGGAGCAAACAGGAUUAGAUACCCGUGUA